AACUGUCACAAGCAUUUUGCCCAUGAAAGGCUGCAAUGUGAUCACAUGAGGGGACACGGUAAGUGAGAGCUUUUUAAAAUACAUCAUGGUUUUCUCAAGGUUACCUUAUACAGAAGAGCUUUUGAUAAACCACGAUUACUAAGGUAUCGUUACAUCAAGUAAGAAAAUUAAUAGACAGAACUAGGGCAACUGAGUUACAAACAAUGGAAAGUAAGAAUUUCACUGCCAGUCCCUUGAAGCAUAGGAGCUCCCUUUUCCAUUUUUUCUGAUCAAGAAACUUAAGGGUUUUUCAAUGUGAGCUUUUCUAUUUUGCAGUAGUUCCCUGAGCAGAUGCUUAUUCUUCAUUUGCAUCUUUGUUUACUUGCUUUCCCGACUGGCAGAAUGGUUAAAGCCAAAGCAGUGUCUUAGCUUGGGCUGCAACUCUGCUCGCUUUGCAGCACAUAGUCAGCUUCACUCAAAUGGAACAGUCCUCCACUGACCUAACCAGAAUCUCCCCAAGGUCCCCAAAUUAUUCCCACAGGUUAUACUACAACAGCUAUGACUUGCUGGGAAAGAAUCCUACAGCAUCUAAACACAAGGAAACGUGAUAUUGCUCUUGGACAUACAGGAAAUGCAGAAGCCAAAAGGUGCCUCGUUCCCUGGUAACUCAGACUGUGUUCUACUUGAAAACAGCCCGGGAAAAUCACAGGGUUGCUAGACCUAGGAAGAAGGAUGAGGUGUUGCUCUGUCAUGUCCCGGUUCACUGUAACACGUAAAGUCUUGGUUGCUGACUUUUCUAUGAUGGCUUCUUUUCUGCUUUCACAAUAUGAUGCCAAAGAGCAGAAAAAUUAUAACCAACCAAACAAAAAAGUAGCACUAUGGUGUGACAGACCAGAUUGCACAUGUAAGCUUUUAAGAAUGCCUAUGAUCUGCAUAAACAUGUUGAAACGCACAGUGAUUCAGAUGCCUACAGCUGUGAUGUUGAAGGAUGUGGUUUUACUUCAUGGACUUUACAAACUUGGAGACGGCACUACAAGAGAGCACAUGUGCUUUCUCCUCAGGUUGGUGCUGUACCCUUAG
rnacentral:lncRNA from 1 species